GGGGAAUAUUGCGCAAUGGGGGCAACCCUGACGCAGCCAUGCCGCGUGAAUGAAGAAGGCCUUCGGGUUGUAAAGUUCUUUCGGUAUCGAGGAAGGCAUUUAGUUUAAUAGACUAGGCGAUUGACGUUAACUACAGAAGAAGCACCGGCUAACUCCGUGCCAGCAGCCGCGGUAAUACGGAGGGUGCGAGCGUUAAUCGGAAUAACUGGGCGUAAAGGGCACGCAGGCGGUGACUUAAGUGAGGUGUGAAAGCCCCGGGCUUAACCUGGGAAUUGCAUUUCAUACUGGGUCGCUAGAGUACUUUAGGGAGGGGUAGAAUUCCACGUGUAGCGGUGAAAUGCGUAGAGAUGUGGAGGAAUACCGAAGGCGAAGGCAGCCCCUUGGGAAUGUACUGACGCUCAUGUGCGAAAGCGUGGGGAGCAAACAGGAUUAGAUACCCUGGUAGUCCACGCUGUAAACGAUGUCGAUUUGGGGGUUGAACUUUGAGUUUGGCGCCCGUAGCUAACGUGAUAAAUCGACCGCCUGGGGAGUACGACCGCAAGGUUA
rnacentral:rRNA from 1 species